rnacentral:rRNA from 1 species
GACGUAGGGCGCAAGCGUUGUCCGGAUUUAUUGGGCGUAAAGAGCUCGUAGGCGGUUUGUCGCGUCGACUGUGAAAACCCGAGGCUUAACCUCGGGCCUGCAGUCGAUACGGGCAGACUAGAGUUCGGUAGGGGAGACUGGAAUUCCUGGUGUAGCGGUGAAAUGCGCAGAUAUCAGGAGGAACACCGGUGGCGAAGGCGGGUCUCUGGGCCGAUACUGACGCUGAGGAGCGAAAGCGUGGGGAGCGAACAGG